UACGUAGGCAGCAAGCGUUGUUCGGAGUUACUGGGCGUAAAGGGUGCGUAGGCGGCUUGGUAAGUGUGGUGUGAAAUCUCCCGGCUCAACUGGGAGGGUGCGCUACAAACUGCCGGGCUAGAGUGCGGGAGAGGAGAGUGGAAUUCCUGGUGUAGCGGUGAAAUGCGUAGAUAUCAGGAGGAACACCGGUGGUGUAAACGGGCUCUCUGGACCGUAACUGACGCUGAGGCACGAAGACGUGGGUAGCAAACAGG
rnacentral:rRNA from 1 species